rnacentral:lncRNA from 1 species
CAUUACUUGACUUAGAAAGGCGAACAUCUGGGCAAGGGAAAGCGCAGUGCGCCUGGUGCAAAUGGCUUUCUUUUUUCAUGAUAUACCAAUCAGAAUGGAGGGUCCUACCUACGUACAUGAUUGAUAGAAUCACUACGUAGGGGGGGCGGUCAACUUGAUGCGGGAGAGGCAUGAGUGCAGUUCGAUCUUGUGGUGUAUUCGUUUGUAGUGAGUAGGGCCUCUUUCUCGUUGAUCAGUUCGCCUCCGCUCUAUUGAAAAGUAGGAAUUCCUAUGGCGAUUUUGUCAACGAACGCGUCUCGGGCCGGAUUGACUAACCUAACCCACCCUUAAGGAGGCUUUUCCAUAGUUGGGUGUCCGCUUUAGUGUGAUUUACGAAGGCUAGGCUAGGUUUGGUAAUAUCCAAAACAAAUGAAAAGAGGUCGGGGUCGAUAGGUGGCAGUUGGCAAGGAACUUGAUCCCCCCCAAAAAAAGGGGGAAGCCGCGGUCGAACUCUUAUUCUGGAAAUAAGUCGGGGCCCUUUUACCAAGUCUACCAGAUAGAAGAUGAUAGAGGGCCAACUAUCGUUGCCUUGCACAAGACGGUGCCCUUUCACUUCGAGUUCCUUCCUUCGUAGUCAAAUCUGAUGAUACGCUUUGGCGAUGUUACCUACCAAAUAAAAGGCCUGCUAGGUGAUCGAAAUCGCUCAGGUCAGUGAGGACUCACUCACUCACCUACUCCUUAUCUAUUUAAUACUUUCUUCUAUCUACUUAAUUUAAAAGGCGACCCGCCGCGCCGGGCUAUAAGAUAAGAUACAGUUCUUGUACUACUUGAUUGACUGGUAAGAAAGAGCUUCCGUAAGAACUGGAAGACUCUUGUAUGUACGGUAACCCUCUCUUCCGCUACUGGUGGACUGUUGCACAGAAAGGGCGACAGAAGCAACCUUUCUUAGCGCGCUUUUCAAGCGCUUAGCUUCUGCUAGUGGCGGGGCGGCAAGGCCAUGUUGUUCAGUUGGAAGCCUAAGCCAAGAAGGUACGAACGAAGUGACGGGCCCCUUUAGAAGAUAGGGGGCGGCUUUCUUGUGGUAGUAAUUGCGAACAUCUCUCCUCUUCUCUUAGCGUGCACAGUUUGCUUACAUGCCGCCUUAGGCACAUCUCUCUUUCUUAGUUUCACGCUGGACUAAUGAUAAUGAAUGAAAGUCAGUCUUUUAGUAAACGUAUAUAAGCAGCUGUUUAGUGUAUAAGCAAUUCUUUAGUGGUCGCACCGAAAGUACGGUGGAGGUUGGUUGAAGAUGAUGUUAGGCGGCGUUCAGAACCAGUCUUGAAGUGAAUGAAUUAGAAAGAAGUAAGGAAAUGAGACGACUCUUUCUUGAACUAUAUCAUAAACAGAUCUUCCCCUCCACACCAAUCACGAGUUUUUCUCUAUUCCUCUCGUAUAUCGUCGUAACGCCCUUAAUGCUAGGUUUUGAAAAAGACUUUUCAUGUCAUUCCCAUUUAGGUCCGAUUCGGAUCCCUCCGUUGUUUCCUUUUCCUUCCGCACCUUUUCCUCGAAAUGAGAAAGAAGAUGGUACACUUGAAUUGUAUUAUUUAAGUGCUUAUUGCUUGCCAAAAAUCCUACUUCUACAAUUGGUAGGUCACCGGGUUAUUCAAAUAAGUCGUGUUUUCCGUGGUUUUCCCAUGUUACAACUUCCGUACCAAUUCGGUCGAUCCGGAAUGGAUCGGUUAAACAUUCCAUUAGGGAGCCUGGUCUUGACUCUUCUGUGUGGUAUUCAUUCUGUUACAACUUUCGUACCAAUUUGGUCGAUCCGGAAUGGAUCGGUUAAACAUUCCAUUAGGGAGCCUGGUCUUGACUUUUCUAUGUGGUAUUCAAUCUCCUUCGGCUCUUGGAAUCACAUCCAGCAGUGGUUGGAACAGCUCGCAAAAUCCAACCACUUCACCUACUUCAUUGCCCCCAACCGUUUCUCGUACCUCUAUUGAAACAGAAUGGUUUCAUGUUCUUUCAUCGAUUGGUUAUUCCUCUCCGUUCGUAUCUCUUUUUCCAAUUUCGGUCUCGAUUAGUUCACAAGAUUGAAUGGCCAAUUCUCCUCCGAACCCUCGAUUCGAUUGUUUUCCAAGAAUGUUGAGCCGGGUAUGUAAGCCAUGUAUCUGGGAGGAAUUUAAAUAAAAGAAGGGCUUUCGGUUUUUUGCACCCCGUUUUGGUCUUGCAGCUAUUUUAAAUAUAUAUAUAUAAGAAUCCCUUAUAAAGAAGAAAGAUUAUAUAUAUGUACAAUCUCUAGUGGUGGUGGAACCAACCAAGAUGUAUGUCGUCCGACCCGACCUCAGACUCUUUCUUCCCGACCUAUUUGACUCUCUGGCCGUAGUUAUUUAGGUGGUAUUCCGAGAUCGAAUUCCUCCCAGGAACACACGAAACAAAGAUAUGAACUGGGUAAAUAGAAAUGGAAAAGAGAUGUUUCUAUUUCAUCCAAAUUAGAAGCUUUUUCUACAUCCAUAUGAUCUACUAAAGUAGAUCGGUAUUGAAAAUGGAAAAGAGAUGUUUCUAUUUCAUCCAAAUUAGAAGCUUUUUCUACAUCCAUAUGAUCUACUUAAGUAGAUCGGUAUUGACCAUUUAAUAAAAGCAGAUCUUGGUCCAUGGAGUCCCAAGAAGGUAAGAAUUGCAACCUGUCCGAUGCUUUUUCGGCCAAAUACGAUAUACAAGUGGGACCUGCACUAUGAGCAAGCUGUGCGAAAAACCGCUUCUUUUUUCCGGUUCCGAAACAACUUGGGCGAAAUAGGGUUCUACCGGGAAACCAUGGAUUUUUGAGUUUUCGCCAUUGGUUACUGGUUGAGCCACUGGAAUGGAAUGAGAUAAGAAUCCCUGGAGAUCUUUCCUCUCCACUUACUCGUAACAGGCUUUUCUUCUGUAGAAGACUUCUUCCGAAUGUGAAACAACUUGGGUGAAAUAGGGUUCUACCGGGAAACCAUGGAUUUUUUAGUUUUCGCAAUUGGUUACUGGUUGAGCCACUGGAAUGGAAUGAGAUAAGAAUCCCUGGAGAUCUUCCUCUCCACUUACUUGUAGCAGGCUUUUCUUCUGUAGAAGAUUUCUUCCGAAUGGCAUAAUUGUCCGACACUACGUUCCUCGAUCUUCAAAGAAAACUCACUCCUCCUACUCCUCCUUCUCCUUUAGGAUAGGAUCCUCCUUGGUCCUUCUUUCACUAAUGGUCUCACCAUUUUCUAGUAGUAGUA